AUUGAACGCUGGCGGCAGGCCUAACACAUGCAAGUCGAGCGAGCGGCGGACGGGUGAGUAAUGCCUGGGAAUUGCCCAGUCGAGGGGGAUCACAGUUGGAAACGACUGCUAAUACCGCAUACUCUUGGAUUCCCCAGGUGGUAGUAGCUUGUUGGUGGGGUAAUGGCUCACCAAGGCGACGAUCCCUAGCUGGUCUGAGAGGAAGACCAGCCACACUGGAACUGAGACACGGUCCAGACUCCUACGGGAGGCAGCAGUGGGGAAUAUUGCACAAUGGGGGAAAGCCUGAUGCAGCCAUGCCGCGUGUGUGAAGAAGGCCGUCGGGUUGUAAAGCACUUUCAGCGAGGAGGCGUUACUCGCAGAAGAAGCACCGGCUAACUCCGUGCCAGCAGCCGCGGUAAUAC
rnacentral:rRNA from 1 species